UUAUUACUGUUUUAUUGAGUA
rnacentral:piRNA from 1 species